UACGAGGGGGGCAAGCGUUGUUCGGAAUUAUUGGGCGUAAAGGGUGCGUAGGCGGUUUGGUAAGUCUUAUGUGAAAUCUACAGGCUCAACUUGUAGUCUGCAUGAGAAACUGCCGGGCUUGAGUAUGGGAGAGGUGAGUGGAAUUCCUGGUGUAGCGGUGAAAUGCGUAGAUAUCAGGAGGAACACCGGUGGCGAAGGCGGGUCUCUGGGCCGAUAUUGACGCUGAGGAGCGAAAGCAUGGGGAGCGAACAGG
rnacentral:rRNA from 1 species